rnacentral:lncRNA from 12 species
CCCCCCCUUGCCCCCGAGGAUGGGGCCACGGGGCCCUGGCUGCCCACCCGGUGAGUCGUCCCCUGGCACAGGACGGGCACUUUCAGUUUCCUGGCUUUUCAGCAAACACAUUUAUUUAGGCAUUCUCAUUAAAAAAAAAAAAAACCAAAAAAAAAAAACAAAAAAAACAAUGCCCCGCGUUUCCUCCUAAUUGCCCGUUUCCCCUGUCUCCUAGGAAACUGCUGGAAGCGGGGCUGCUGGGCCCUUCCUAGAGCGGCUGGGUUUGCGUCUGCCAAGGCGCAGAAUCCUGGCGUGUCCAGCCUGGGUCCCCGGCUUGGAUCCCCGCACUUUCCCUGUGUGGCAGCCGCGGCCUCGAGAGCCAGCGACUUGGCCAGAGUACGUGGCUCUGCUUAUUUAUUUCCUAAUAGGUUCACGCGCCGUGGGAGUGGUGCCCUCGGCUGCGUCGUGGGCCUGGUCGCAGAUGGGGACAGUCAGACAGACAGGGUCCCUUGGGGCGUUCGCGGUUGCCCAGAAAGCUGAGAAAAUAAUUUCACAUAGGACACCGUCCUCGCUAAGAUCCUCUGCAGAUAUUGAAACAAGCAGGAGAUUCCCACAGAUUAAGAAUCCCAGCUGGGCUUUCCCUGAGCUCCUGCUUUAGCUUGGUGAGAAAAUCAUGAUGUGCUGCUGCCUUACAUCACUGAGGACCCAGAGGUAUGGAGAGAAGCAAGGCCGUGACAUCCAGGACGGCGAUGUCCCCGACGCACAGCCUCCGAGCCCUGCGCUGGUUUCCCCGGGGACCCCUCGCCCCUUUCCUCUGUGCACCGUCCCUUCCUCCUGGGGAGCUGAGUCUCAGCACACCACACCCCAGGCUGAGCUGUGCCAUUCAGAUGCUUCCUCCUGGAACUCUGCUUUUUUUUUUUUUUUUUUUAAUUUCAAGUUUGUUUGUUUGUUUAUUUAUUUUUUAUUGGUGUUCAAUUUGCCAGCAUAUAGCAUAACACCCAGUGCUCAUCCCAUCAAGUGCCCCCCUUAGUGCCCGUCACCCAGUACCCCCACCCCCCACCCACCUCCCCUUCUACCACCCUUAGUUCGUUUCCCAGAGUUAGGAGAGUCUCAUGUUCUGUCUCCCUUUCUGAUAUUUCCCCCUCAUUUUUUUUCCUUUCCCCUUUAUUCCCUUUCACUAUUAUUUAUAUUCCCCAAAUGAAUGAGACCAUAUAAUGUUUGUCCUUCUCCGAUUGACUUACUUCACUCAGCAUCAUACCCUCCAGGUCCAUUCACGUCAAAGCAAAUGGUGGGGAUUCGUUGUUUCUAAGGGCUGAGGAAUAUUCCAUUGUAUCCAUAUAAAAAGAAAGAAGGAACUCUGCUUUUGAAGCGAGGCUGGGGUGAGGGCUUGGAGGGGAGUCACUGCCACGGCGGCAGGCCUGCUGGAGGGCUCCUAUCCCGACCCCCUUGCUGUCCUGUUUCCUCCCCAGUACCCACGGCUCCUACCUCUUUCCCAAGCGGCAACCCUCACGUCCUUCCAGCAAAUUCCUUUGCUUGAACUGGUUACACUAUUCCACUUUGGGGGACAGUAAGGAGGUCAGCAUGGGCGGGACACAGCAAACGCAGGAAGGCUAGGGCGUGUCGUGGCGGGCUAGAUACACGAGCAGGCCAGAAAGUGCCUUACAUGGUAUACGGAGGCAUUUCAGUUUUAUUUUCGCAUCCUUAGGAUGAUUCCAAGCCUUAUAUUAU